rnacentral:misc_RNA from 1 species
AGUUGAGUUGAGUUGAGUUGUAUGGGAACUCUCAACUUAGGAAUCAUUUCAGUGGUUCCAACCUAAACACCAUGAAUAGGUAGUAAAAUGUACUAUCUCUAUGUAAAAGUGCACUCAUAACCAAUGGUAUUGGCAGUGACAUUUCUCUAACUAGUGCAACAUCUGCUGGCAUUUCUACACCACCACUUUAUCCCAGCUAAAAUGGCAAAAUGUUGUUGAUGCAGAAAAAAAAAAAAAUCAGAGGUUGUAGAUGAUUGAGGAAGUAAAAACAGAUGAUGCAAAUAGCAUUUUCCCAUCAUUAAUAACCUCCCAUAUGCAUGUGUGAAAUUUACCUUACAAUUUUUUUAAGUUCGAAUAAGUAAGGUUUCUCCUACAAGUACAAGCAUAAGGAUAGCCUAGAAAUAGAGAAAAACAUUCACAGGUUUUCCUUGAAAAUUCCUACACAUAUUCAUGUAGUUUACAUAUCUCUCUCAUUCUCUAAAACACACUACUAUUUCCCUAAUAUUCCAGAAUCAAAUGCUAAGUCAUCCAACACAAGGAAAAGAAAAUCCUUGAAGUGAAUAGAAGAUAAAACAAAACUUAAAUUAGAUAAACAAGUUAAAACGGUGUACCUGCAAUUGGGAAGACUGUUUGGUCUUGAGGGUUAAAUAGUCUAACAGAGCACUCCAUUUCU